CACCAAUAGAAACCUCAGUUUCCUGCCUCCAUUCCAGAGGUCAAACAAAAGCAAAAGUAAUCAGAACAUCAUUUACAGGACAAAUUAGAUGAUCCUCAGAGCCUAUCAGUGUCUUCUCCCAAAUGCAAUGCAUCUGACAUCCUUAAAAAAUAAAAAAUUCUCUUCAGAAAACAUUGGUUUGUAAAUCGAGGAGGUCAGGAUCAACGACUU
rnacentral:misc_RNA from 1 species